GACGAACGCUGGCGGCGUGCCUAAUACAUGCAAGUCGAGCGGACUUACAAAGCUUGCUUUUUAAGUUAGCGGCGGACGGGUGAGUAACACGUGGGCAACCUGCCUGUAAGACUGGGAUAACUUCGGGAAACCGGAGCUAAUACCGGAUAAUCCUUUUCUACUCAUGUAGAAAAGCUGAAAGACGGUUUACGCUGUCACUUACAGAUGGGCCCGCGGCGCAUUAGCUAGUUGGUGAGGUAACGGCUCACCAAGGCGACGAUGCGUAGCCGACCUGAGAGGGUGAUCGGCCACACUGGGACUGAGACACGGCCCAGACUCCUACGGGAGGCAGCAGUAGGGAAUCUUCCGCAAUGGACGAAAGUCUGACGGAGCAACGCCGCGUGAGUGAUGAAGGUUUUCGGAUCGUAAAACUCUGUUGUUAGGGAAGAACAAGUACGAGAGUAACUGCUCGUAGCUUGACGGUACCUAACCAGAAAGCCACGGCUAACUACGUG
rnacentral:rRNA from 1 species